UAGGGAAUCUUCCGCAAUGGGCGAAAGCCUGACGGAGCAACGCCGCGUGAGUGAAGAAGGUCCUCGGAUCUUAAAACUCUGUUAUAAGGGAAGAACAAAUGUGUAAGUAACUAUGCACGUCUUCACGGUACCUAAUCAGAAAGCCACUGCCAACUACGCGCCAGCAGCCGCUGUAAUACGUAGGUCGCAAGCGUUAUUCGGUAUCUAAUGGCAUAAAGCGCGCGUAGGCGGUUUUGUAAGUCUGAUGUGAAAGCACACGGCGCAACCGUGGAGGAUCAUUGUAAACUGGUAAACUUGAGUGCAGAAGGGGAAAGUGGAAUUCCAUGUGUAGCGGUGAAAUGCGCGGAGAUAUGGAGAAACACUGGUGGGGAAGGCGCCUUUCUGGUCUAUUGCUGACGCUAAUGUGCGAAAGCGUGGGGAUCAAACAGG
rnacentral:rRNA from 1 species